GCUUGUGAGAGUCAGGACCUGAGCCACGCGUAUCACAGCUUUUCCAGCCUCUGUACUUCUCAACAUCACACAGUUGUCAUUCCCCUUGUCAGAGAGCACAGCGAGUGGGCAAGACAUGGGGUCAGAAAAGGAACUCCAUGGAAGCAAAGGGAACACUACAGAGACCAGUUUGGUGAAUUCCUGGGGUUCGGGUGGAAGAUGACAGUGGUGCAGACUAGGAUGGUGCCAAGAGAAUAAGGACGAAUCCAAUUGUUGAAACUGUUUUAAGUCAUAAGAAACACAGAGAGCAAUUUUUAUGAGCAUUCUGAAUGAUUUUGAAGCCAAUAAUAUUGAGGAUGAAACA